CCUUCGGGUGGGAGCGGCGGACGGGUUAGUAACGCGUGGGAACAUACCCUUCUCUAUGGAAUAGCCUCGGGAAACUGAGAGUAAUACCAUAUACGCCCUUCGGGGGAAAGAUUUAUCGGAGAAGGAUUGGCCCGCGUUUGAUUAGAUAGUUGGUGGGGUAAUGGCCUACCAAGUCUACGAUCAAUAGCUGGUUUGAGAGGAUGAUCAGCAACACUGGGACUGAGACACGGCCCAGACUCC
rnacentral:rRNA from 1 species